UUAGCUGAGUUGACUUUGUAGCAGAACCGUUGUUUAUAGCUUUGCUGUGAACUUAUUCUAACUAUAUGUACAUAUUUUAACCCAUAGCAUCUACAUUUGUAUAGGAUCUGUCAUUUUUCUUUUUAUUUUAAUUUUUUUUUAUCAACCUAGUAGCAAAAUUGGUCUUCUUUAUCUCAUUUUUUGUGUUAAUUUGAUUUUUUUUUAUUAGCUCUUUAGCUGCAAAAUUUUGUGACUUAAAUCUUACUUAUAUGAACUAAUAGGAUCUAAUUAGUGAAUUAGAUUUGUGGGAAUUUACUUUCCAAGAGUUUCUGGGUUGAUUUCAAUUUGUGGGUUGAUAUCCUUUAUUCUGUUGUGCUUCUGUUCUGUGUCCAUGUAAAUGAAGAUUUUGGCAUGAUUAGGAUUUCUUGUUGAUAUUGUACGUUUCUUUUUGCCUAACAUUUUGGUUGGUGUAGUUAUUAGAUUUUUGAGUUGUAGAUUGUUAGAACAAGCAGCAAGUAUAAAAAGGUCAAGAUUAAGCUGGCUUAGAUUUUUUGCGAGAUGUGGGAAGAUCAAUGAGGAAUUGAAGGGAAACUUUGACUUAUGGAUUUUAAUUAUCUUGUGAAAUAUGCGAGCAAAUCUUUAAAACACGAUCUUUGUUAAUCUUUUGCCUGCUUUGCUGCCUAAUCUGGCACAAUUAUAUCUUUUGGCAUUUUCCUUGUUGUGGCUCCUCUCUGGAAGGAAGAUCUGUAAUUUUUAUAGUGGAUUUGGUAUGACUGGCAUGAGUUUACAACCAGCUUACUGUUUUAUUCAAAUUAGUUAUUGGAGUGAGUGGUUAAAACUAUUUCUUCUCAAUUGAAAAUUAAACCAUUGAAAAUGUGAACAAGUUUGAAGUCUAUGUGUAAUCAUCAUUCUAAUGUUUUUGGGUUCUCCAUUGAAUAGAUUGUUUUUUUGCUAUGCCAGUUUCAUUGUUAGAGUUGAGGCCAAAGCUUGUCUUUUUUUGUGUGUGGCAUAGCAGCAGAGAUUCUGAACUUAUUUAACUAAAAUUGUUUAUUGGAUGUAUCAGGAAAGCACUAGAGGGUAUAAUUGCUCUAGAUUCAGACUUCUGAUUAGUGUCUUGGGGUUUAAGUACUGCACUUAUGGUUGUAACUGAAAAAAUUGUAUUGAUUUAUUUGAUAAUAUUUUUUAUAAUUCUUUGUUAUCCUUUGGUUUAAGAUGGUGAAAUAUGAAUUUUCCCACUAUCAUUCUAAUACAUUUGAUGCUUUCUAUUAUGGAUGCAUUGGGUAUAGAUGGCACUGGUCACAACUGCAGA
rnacentral:misc_RNA from 1 species